rnacentral:rRNA from 1 species
GAUAAACGUUGGCGGUGUGCCUUAUGCAUGCAAGUCGUACGAGGUUAUGGUCUUCGGAUUGUAACCGAGUGGCGGACGGCUGAGUAACACGUAAGCAACCUGCCUUCAAGUGGGGAAUAACCUGUCGAAAGGCAGGCUAAUACCGCAUAUGAUAAUCGAGUGUUGCUCGAUUAUUAAAGCCUUAGGGCGCUUGGAGAUGGGCUUGCGUCUGAUUAGCUAGUUGGUGAGGUAAUGGCUUACCAAGGCGAUAAUCAGUAGCUGGUCUGAGAGGAUGGUCAGCCAGAUGGGGACUGAGAUACGGCCCCAACUCCUACGGGAGGCAGCAGCAAGGGAUAUUGGGCAAUGGGCGAAAGCCUGACCCAGCGACACCGCGUGAGGGAGGAAGGCCUUCGGGUCGUAAACCUCUUUUCUCGAGGAAGAAUUUUGACGGUACUCGAGGAAUAAGCCUCGGCUAACUACGUGCCAGCAGCCGCGGUAAGACGUAGGAGGCGAACGUUAUCCGGAUUUAUUGGGCGUAAAGAGAGCGUAGGCGGCUUUUUAAGUCAAGUGUGAAAUCUUGUGACUCAAUCAGAAGAAGCCGCUUGAUACUGGAAGGCUUGAGGGAAGCAGAAGGAAAUGGAAUUCCCAGUGUAGCGGUGAAAUGCGUUGAUAUUGGGAAGAACACCAGUGGCGAAGGCGAUUUCCUAGGCUUUUCCUGACGCUGAGGCUCGAAAGCGUGGGGAGCGAAGCGGAUUAGAUACCCGCGUAGUCCACGCCUUAAACGGUGGACAUUAGGUAUGGGGAGUAUCGACCCUCUCCGUGUCGAAGCUGACGCUUUAAAUGUCCCGCCUGGGGAGUACGGCCGCAAGGCUA